rnacentral:lncRNA from 1 species
CGUUAACCUCGGAUAAUUCACAAGGCCCGAGGACAGAUACCAGCAGUGUGAUCACGGAAUGGUCGUUAUGUUUGUUCCAUUCGCAGGAAAAUGGAGCCAGAUUGUUGGCGUUUUUGCUACGAAGGGGAAUGUUAAAGGAGAAAUGUUGCUGAAAAUUCUAAUUGAAGCCGUGAUCCUCGUUGAACAGGCAGGCUUGCUCGUUGAUCACAUCACGUGUGACGGGGCCACUUGGAACCGGAAGAUGUGGAGGCUGGCUGGAGUGUCCGUGUCAUUUUAAGAAAUAAAAUUUAAUAUACAGCACCCUGUCGACGGAAAGAGGAAACUGCACUUCAUCUCCGACUUCCCCCAUCUGCUUAAAUGCCUGCGGAACGGUUUACUCAAGCAAGGCUUUGCAACACCAAAGGGAAUGGUAUCCGUGCGGCCAGUUCGGGAAGCAUAUCUACGGGACUGCGGCGUUCGGACGCUUAAAGUAAUGCCCAAGCUGACUGAGACACACCUGGAUCCAAACUCGUUUGAGAAGAUGCGAGUUACGUACGCCUUUCAACUUUUCGGAUCGUAUGUCCUAAGGGGCCUGGCCUUUUACAAGGAAGAAAUUGAGAAAAGAUGCGGCCGCAUUGAAGCAACGCAAGGAUUUUUCGCGAAGAUCAACAGACUGAUUACCGUGAUGACAUCACGAUUUCGCGCCGAAGCACUCAGGCCAGCUUCCUCCGAUGCUGCAUUUUUGGCUGAUUUUCUGGACUACCUCGACAAGUGGGAAGCGUGUAAUCCCGACAAGCGGCACUUCCUUAGUGAAUCCACUGCAACCGGG